GACGAACGCUGGCGGCGUGCUUAACACAUGCAAGUCGAACGGAAAGGCCCUUCGGGGUACUCGAGUGGCGAACGGGUGAGUAACACGUGGGUGAUCUGCCCUGCACUUUGGGAUAAGCCUGGGAAACUGGGUCUAAUACCGAAUAGGACCACGCGCUUCAUGGUGUGUGGUGGAAAGCUUUUGCGGUGUGGGAUGGGCCCGCGGCCUAUCAGCUUGUUGGUGGGGUAAUGGCCUACCAAGGCGACGACGGGUAGCCGGCCUGAGAGGGUGACCGGCCACACUGGGACUGAGAUACGGCCCAGACUCCUACGGAAGGCAGCAGUGGGGAAUAUUGCACAAUGGGCGCAAGCCUGAUGCAGCGACGCCGCGUGAGGGAUGACGGCCUUCGGGUUGUAAACCUCUUUCAAUAGGGACGAAGCGCAAGUGACGGUACCUAUAGAAGAAGCACCGGCCAACUACGUG
rnacentral:rRNA from 1 species